rnacentral:lncRNA from 1 species
AUGGAUUUACAAUUAUAUUAAGACUUUAAGUCAACACUCUAGGGUGGAGGAGUUGUGUUUGUGUGACUGUUUACUGUCAUUGUUAAUUCGACUGUUUUAAGCAAUUGGCAGAUUUAUCCAACAGUAUACCUUAAUUGACAUCUUGAUUUCUUGUCUAGCUUCGAAUUUAGCAGUUACCAAAAUCAUGACUUUGGAACUUCCAUUUUAUAUGCUCUUUUUACUUACAAUGCAUGUUGGCCAUAUAUUGUCAGUUGUUUUUCAUUUAUUUAUUAUAUCAUCGUGGCUUUUUAUGACUUGCCUUGUCAUUUCUUUGACGUACGAUUACAUACUCAAAGAACCCAUUUGGGAAAAGAAAGGAUGGCGGUCAGCUUGUUGCAGCUUCAGGUGCUAAUGGAGCUCCACAGACGAUGACUUAUCAGUAGCUUGAAGGGGAUGUACUCUGUUUCUCAUGCUCAACAAAAUCGAACUACCUCAUCAUAGGAUGCAUCUUGCAGCUGUUCCAUGCAUCCAUUCACCAUCAAGUCAUGAACAUUGGCAUCUCUCUCUACAUGUGGAUGAGACCACCUAGAUAGUUGUAUCACUAACAUGUCAUCUGGCCAUGUUAUAGUUACUGAAGUCAUGCAUUUGUUAAGCAGGACAAACUUUUGCUUGGAUUAGUUUAUAGAGGCUGACAUAUUUAUCUGUAUGUUUGUCUAGUGCAUCAGUCUGCACAAUAUUUGGUUAAUUUGCUUUAGCACCUCAGUUGCCAUUCAGUUCAUUGACAUAAGCAAUCACAAAGUCCAUCAGUAGAUGACAUGUCAUGCAGAUGUAGUGGGCUAUUGAACGCCUAAACAUAUCAUGGACACAAGGAGAUAACAAUAUUCGGACAUUGGAAAAACAUAUCAUUGCUUUAGCACCUCAGUUGCCAUUCAGUUCAUUGACAUAAGCAAUCACAAAGUCCAUCAGUAGAUGACAUGUCAUGCAGAUGUAGUGGGCUAUUGAAGGCCUAAACAUAUCAUGGACACAAGGAGAUAACGAUAUUCGGACAUUGGAAAAACAUAUCAUUG